AUUGAACGCUGGCGGCAGGCUUAACACAUGCAAGUCGAGCGGGGUGAUGGUGCUUGCACUAUCACUUAGCGGCGGACGGGUGAGUAAUGCUUAGGAAUCUGCCUAUUAGUGGGGGACAACAUCUCGAAAGGGAUGCUAAUACCGCAUACGUCCUACGGGAGAAAGCAGGGGAUCACUUGUGACCUUGCGCUAAUAGACGAGCCUAAGUCGGAUUAGCUAGUUGGUGGGGUAAAGGCCUACCAAGGCGACGAUCUGGAGCGGGUCUGAGAGGAUGAUGCGCCACACUGGGACUGAGACACGGCCCAGAAUCCUACGGGGGGCAGCAGUGGGGAAUAUUGGACAAUGGGGGGAACCCUGAUCCAGCCAUGCCGCGUGUGUGAAGAAGGCCUUAUGGUUGUAAAGCACUUUAAGCGAGGAGGAGGCUCUUUUGGUUAAUACCCAAGAUGAGUGGACGUUACUCGCAGAAUAAGCACCGGCUAACUCUGUGCCAGCAGCCGCAGUAA
rnacentral:rRNA from 1 species